GCAAGUCGAGCGAGAAAUCACUUCGGUGAGAGUACAGCGGCGGACGGGUGAGUAACGCGUAGGAAUCUACCUGGUAGUGGGGGACAACAUGUGGAAACGCAUGCUAAUACCGCAUACGACCUAAGGGUGAAAGCGGGGGACCUUCGGGCCUCGCGCUAUCGGAUGAGCCUGCGUUGGAUUAGCUAGUUGGUGGGGUAAAGGCUCACCAAGACGAUGAUGCAUAGCCGACCUGAGAGGGUGAUC
rnacentral:rRNA from 1 species